rnacentral:rRNA from 1 species
UAAGGAAUAUUGGUCAAUGGACGCAAGUCUGAACCAGCCAUGCCGCGUGAAGGAUGAAGGUCCUCUGGAUUGUAAACUUCUUUUAUCUGGGACGAAAACGGGAUUUUUAUCUCAAUUGACGGUACCAGAGGAAUAAGCACCGGCUAACUCCGUGCCAGCAGCCGCGGUAAUACGGGGGGUGCGAGCGUUAUCCGGAUUUACUGGGUUUAAAGGGUGCGUAGGUGGGCUUAUAAGUCAGUGGUGAAAUCUCCGAGCUUAACUUGGAAACUGCCGUUGAUACUAUGGGUCUUGAAUUAUCUGGGGGUAAGCGGAAUAUGUCAUGUAGCGGUGAAAUGCUUAGAUAUGACAAAGAACACCGAUUGCGAAGGCAGCUUGCUAAGCUGUAACUGGCGCUGAGGCACGAAAGCGUGGGGAGCAAACA